GCUAUUGGGCCUGGGCCGCGCCGCCGGCCCCGGGGCGGGGCCGCAUGUGCGCGGCGGGCGCCGCCGCCGCCGCGUGGGGAUCCUGCCGCGCGGCCCGGGCCGAGGGGCCGGCAGCGCCCGGGGGCGACGGCGGGGGUGGCGGGGCGCCCGGCCUGCGCAGCGGCGGCGAGGCCCAGAGACGCGUCCGCCGAGCCCGUCCCGCGGCAGAGCUCUGCCUCCGCGCAGCCUGGUCGCGCUCGUCGUGCGGCUCGGGGCUGGUUGUGUUUAAAUCGGGAGGAAUUAAAGUAGGCCCGGGCCAGUGCCCUGCCGGCCGUGCGGGAGGCGGGUGGCGGCGGGGGGUGCCGUCGCGCCCUGGCUCUGCGGGGCCGUCCUCCCCGAGGGGUGCGGUCCGUGGGGCGUUUGCGGAGGAUAAAAUCUGUGUGUUUGAGGUUAAUAAGAGCUUUAUUGAACCAGGGAGAAGCGCGGUCCGGCCCUGGGUUUUGUCUCUGCCUGUCUUGUCCGUGGCCGUAACAAACAGCAGAUGCCUAGGGAAAGUUUGCUUUAUUUGACCAUCCCCGAACCAUGACCUGAUGUCACUGAGGACACUGAAGAGGAUCAAACGCGUGACAGUGGCUUGAAAGAAAGCAAGGUUGUAUCAUCUCCAGGUUGGAAGCAGUCUUCAUAUAUUACUUGAGAGAAGGCAGGACUGUGACCAUCUGAAACAGAGCCAAAAGGACAGGCUGCUUUUCUGAAGUAUGAACUUCUGUCUCAAGCUUUUUGUCUCUGUUCCUAUAACUUUUCUCUUCCAGAAAAAUCCCAAUAGAAACCUCCCGCCCAAAGCAUUUACAUUCAUGACUGGCAUUCAUUCUUGUUUUGUGUGGAUACACAUAUUUAACUACCAGGGCAACUACCUUAAAUGGAAAAACAUACAUUAAAUCUGCUGGUUUCAGUAAGAUUAAGCCUGACUAUAAAAGCAUUAAGCUCCUAUGAUAUGAAUCUCUCCAGUUUCAUUUGCUCUGACAAAAUGUGCUUUUAUCCCCUCUUUUCUAUUGUGCUUGCUCUUUUUUUUUUUCUUUUUUCCCCCCUUUCUCAGAAGAACACAAAUCCUGCUGAUCAGCAGUCACAAGACUUGAAAAAAAAGACAGAAUUUUUCUGUGACACUGAAGCAAGACCACAAUUCACACUGGUUGCUGCUCGAGUAAUCUGUGUCACUUUUGUGAGGUGUAUUGUCUUGCAAAGGAGUUAGCUUGGCAGGUGUGGUCUACACCCACACAGAUCUAGUAACCAUAUACUUUAAAGAGGAGGAUAUUUCAAUAGAUCAAUUAAAAACUUGAUUGCACUAUUUUUACAAGGAUGCUCUAUGACUGCUAGAGUCUCCCAUUUUUUCAUAUAACUAUAUAACUUAUCUGCAUAGUUCCUUUGUUGAUUCAGCUUUUAGUUGGCAUUAGAAGAAUGAGGUCUUCUCGUUCUGUAUGUUGUGCAAGGAACGACAAUGUCUGCCUUCUGGCUAACGUGUAUUCUGGAAUAACCAGAAAUACUAGUAUGCAAGGUGCUGCACCUAGUCACACAGCUAAAAAGCUAGCUAGAGUGCCAGCUAAUGUUAAUGUCUUUGAUAUUUUUCUUUGCAUAUAAAUACACUUAUUUAUAUUGGUUUUAAAAAUACAGCAGAGCUUCUAUUUAAAUCGAAACAGCAUUAAACUUUUUUGAAGAAAUCACAAACCACUUUAAUCCUCCAUAAAAAAAAUCACAGAUCAUCUUGUGUUGCCUAGCUACUAUUGCUUUUAUUUAUGACAAAUAAAAUGCUCAGAUGCACGUUUAUUUCUUGUAUCUCCCACAUUUUGUUUGCUUGCUUGCUUAGCUGCAUGCUUGGGAAUGCACACGUGUUUUGCUCCUUAACUUGGGAGUCAGGAUUCUGAAUUUAGCAUGGAUGAUAGCUUGAGCUGAAAUAGUGUGUGUGUGGGAGAGAUAUAAUCAAAAAAAUUAAGUGAUUUAGAACAGUCAUUCAGCAAUCUAUAAACCAAGAAGCCAGUAAUCUGGGACUUGAUUCCUUACUUGGAUGCACAAGCUUUGUGUAACUAUUGUUACUUUGUAUAACUAUUAGCAUAAUAAUUUCAGUUGUAGAAGCACUCUUACUCAUGCUCUUGCCAGCCUCAGUAGAAUACUGUAUGCUAGCUGUAGUCUUGCUUUUAACCUGUUUUUGCAUGCAUAUAUCUAACACAAUCAGGUGAGAAAACACGUAAUUCCUCUACAUUAUGUCAGUAGCAUAAUAUAUAAAAAGUGAACAUAACUGCUGCUAAGUAGCUGUCAUUUCUUUGUGCUUGUUUAGAGAUAAUCUUGUGACAAUCUGUGUUCAGAGAUUUAGAAAUUUGGUCUCAUCUAUAAUCCAUUAGUGCAAACUGUUGUAUACUUACAAAACACCUUUAUUCAAUGGUUUGCACACAGAUAUGCAAUAGAAAAUAUGCAUGAUACAGGCAAUUAUACAUGUGUUUGAGAUUAAAUCAAGUACAUAAAUUCUUUGAAGUGUAAUUUUAGAUGCCUAAAGUCCCAACAGGGUUGCAUCCAUCAACAGUCAUUUGAAUAUGUAUAAUUUUAUAUAUUCUUGUAAGUAAUGUUUCUACUUAAUUUACAAUUAAUUGUUUUCAAAGGAUUACUGAAGGAUACAGUUGGGUAAAAAUUAAAAGCUUAAAUAUUUCAAAUGCACAAAUAUUUAUUGUAAAUAAGAUUAAUUAGCAUUUUCAGAAAUACGUGACUAUGAAUUUCAACCAGUUUACUUAAAAUACGUAUAUAAUCAUCAUAGCAUUCUAUUCUUAUUCUUAGCAUGACAUUCAGUCUGUGCUGUGCCUUGGUAAAUCAGUUGAAUUACUAGAUCCACAGGUAAUUUUUAUUGUGAGAGAUUUUAGUGAUGAAAGCGUAGUUCUUUCUCUUCUGCUCAAUUCUUGUUUCAACCUCUGGCAAAUUUUGUAGAUAUUGUCAUUUUAGUGCACCUGACUUGAAUCUCCACUGUUGGGGUUGAUCCAGUGCUAAGAGUCUAAGACAGUAUGAAAUUCUUAUAUUACUUCCUCUGCAACCCCAACAGUGAAAGAGUCUGAUAAAAGUAGGGUAAAAAAGAUGUGGUAUGGCCCAAAAAUGCCAUGCUAUGAUGUCCUUAUUUUCAGACUACCCUUUAUGAAAGCUAACAUAGAUUAGCGCAUGCCCAGGUUUAAAUGCUGUAAGCCCUUCCAUAUGAGUAAUAAUUACAAUAUUUGGGGACUAAUUUCACAGUUGUAUCCUGACAAAGAGGCUUAGAGAUUACUCUUUUUCCUCUUGCAAUUUUAUGUACAAUUUAGCAUUAACAGAAGCAGCAUUGGGCUCACAGUGUUUUUCACAUUAAGCUAUUAGGUGUAAUCAUUAUUGCUUAUUCAUAUUGCAGGCACAAUUAGGACUUAAACUGUAUUCAGUUCUGUGUAAAGAAUACAGUCUCUGCUUUGAGAGUAUGAGAUUGUGACAGAUACCAGCAUGAACUAAAAAUAAAAAUGGGAAGUGAAAAGGUCAAAAUAACAGUGAAGACAAAUGCAUUUGCAUGAAUUGGUUGUAACAGUCAUACUGCAGUAAGUGAAGCCUAUAUUCUGGCCUCAGAUGACACACACAUCACAGCUUCUUGUUUUAUCUCCAGCCUCUGUAAGUUUUAAAAAUUCCAUUGAAAUUAAAAAACAGUUCAUUAGUAAAUACGUAUUUAAACUAAAGGAGUGUUUCUCACUGUGUAUAAUUUCCAAUCUUCACAUAAUGUAUGGUACAUUUCAUGUUAAGAAUUCUCUGAUGAACAACGUGGAACUGUUUAUACACAUUAAUUACCUAAUUAAAUUGUCAAUUGCUAUGAAUCUUUGGCUUCAUAAAUAAAAUACUCAUUAAAAA